UACGUAGGGUGCGAGCGUUGUCCGGAAUUAUUGGGCGUAAAGAGCUCGUAGGCGGUUUGUUGCGUCGGCCGUGAAAACCUGCAGCUUAACUGUGGGCCUGCGGCCGAUACGGGCAGACUUGAGUUCGGUAGGGGAGACUGGAAUUCCUGGUGUAGCGGUGAAAUGCGCAGAUAUCAGGAGGAACACCGGUGGUGAAGGCGGGUCUCUGGGCCGAUACUGACGCUGAGGAGCGAAAGCGUGGGGAGCGAACAGG
rnacentral:rRNA from 1 species